AUACGGAGGAUCCGAGCGUUAUCCGGAUUUAUUGGGUUUAAAGGGUGCGCAGGCGGGAGAUUAAGUCGGCGGUGAAAUUUUGGAGCUCCACUGCAAAAGGGCCUUCGAAACUGGGUUCCUUGAGUGUAGAUGAAGUAGGCGGAAUUUGUGGUGUAGCGGUGAAAUGCAUAGAUAUCACGAGGAACUCCGAUUGCGCAGGCAGCUUACUAAACUACUACUGACGCUCAGGCACGAAGGCGUGGGGAUCAAACAGGAUUAGAUACCCUGGUUGUCCACGCAGUAAACGAUGAUUACUAGCUGUUUGCGAUACAAUGUAAGCGGCUGAGCGAAAGCGUUAAGUAAUCCACCUGGGGAGUACGUUCGCAAGAAUGAAACUCAAAUGAAUUGACGGGG
rnacentral:rRNA from 1 species